AGGCUUAUAGUCUAAUGGAUAAGACAAGUACCUCCUAAGUAUUAACUACAGGUUCAAAUCCUGUUACGCUAA
rnacentral:tRNA from 1 species